AAAAGGGCAAAGAGCCCACUUUGGUACACCUGGAGUAGAUUACACACAUGGGGUUGAUCUUUCCCUUGAAGCCAAAAAGCUCUGGUAAUGUGCUCUCCACAGUACAUGAUAGAGCAGGGUAAAGCUGGAAAUUAAUCACCCAGUGCUACCAAGGCAGUUCAUUACAUGCAAUUGACAGCUUCCUCUCUGUAUUUUUAGAUGGCUAAGAAUCAAGUAGUUGCACAUCAAAAUGUGGUUUUUUUCUUGCUUCUUGGCACAGGACCCGUAUCUGUCAUCAUUUCAUGUCCUCAAAGGCCUGAGAGGAGCUGCCAUCCUUGGGCAACAAAGGAUGCCAUGCAAAGCAGCUCAGAACUUGAGUUGUUUCAACAGAUGCUGUUUUAUGUUUUGCCAAAGAAUGGCCCCUUUUAUUUCUGUCAUGAAUGCAGUCUUUCUUUCAGUUUCUAAAUGUUUUCCAGUAUUAACCCUAAUCCUUAUCUGUCAUUCUUUUAGGAUGAUGGGCUGUCCCUUUUCCUUUGGAACCAGCAUAACCUUCACCAUGUAAAUAUGGAUUGCAAAGAAAUGGAAACGUGGUGCUGUUCACCUUACAGCUCCUGAUGAUUUCUUACAGUGGGGGAGAGGCGGAUUGCACUUCAAGGUCAGAGUAGCUGAGCCAAGUUAUUCCAGUGUAUGAGUGAAAUCAUUCAUUUUUCACUGAACGCUUACUUCAUGCUGGGACCUAAGCAACAACUGUGGCGACAAUGGACUUAUUGGUAAUUUACUAUGUGCAGACACUCUCCUCACCUUUUGACAGAGAACAUUGAUUAGAUGACCAAAAGUGCCCGGCCCUUUGCCAAGUGUGAUAGAAAACAGGGAGAAGGUAUCAUCACUGUUUCACAGAUGCCUACAUUCCAAAGGAUCUCAUCAGAGCAUAAGAGCUCUUCCAGGUUAACAUAUGUGUUUCUAUGCCUGACUCUCAACCUUGGACCUGUACCUCUGCAAUCACUUGGCCCUGGAUGGAUGAGGGAGGGUGGCAUGUGAAUAGAAACUGGACCACGGAGACCACCAAGGAAUGAUGUGCC
rnacentral:lncRNA from 1 species